rnacentral:lncRNA from 1 species
GCCACAGCGGGGGGCAGCGUUCCGCGCCAAGUGCUGCCGCUGCCCGGCCGCCGCGGGCACGCGCCCCGCCGCCCGCACGGGGCCGCGCAGUACCUGUGCCGCCGCGUUCUGCGGGAGCCCCCCUGCCGCCGCGCCCGCCUCCUCCGCCGCUGCCGCCGUAGAUUCAAAAUCGGAACCCGCUCCGGGCACCGACACCGCCUCCCCCCGUCGCGCGCGCGCCGGGCCGUUAUGCAAAUCAGGCCCGUGUCCCCUCCCCUCUCCCUUCAGGCCCCGCCCCCUCCGCGGGCACGGGGGCCGGCCGCCAGGGCUGCCUCGGAGCCGGCCAAUCGCCGGGCCGGCCAUGCUGGCGGCAUGCAAAUGAGCCCCGGCAGUAUUUAAAUGAGCGCGUGGCUCCGCCCCUUGGCGGGCGGUUACCGGCGGGAACGCGCAGGGGCCGCCGCUGCCAGGGGGCGCUGUGGUGGUUACCCCGAAAGGAACCGGUGUUACCCACUCGGUGUGGCGCUGGUGGCAGUGCAGCGCCUGGCUAAAACACAGAGGGUUGGUUGGUUGGUUUUUAAUAGCUUUGAGUAUCGAGAGCGUCGAGCAACCAAGAAGCGCUGCUCUCCAUCUAAGGCACGUGGAUUAUCCCAGGCAGAAGUGACUUGUGAAGAGCUAGUCUGUACUCCAAGGCACUAGUCAGUUCUAGUGGAGAGAACAGUGGCUAUAUCCCUAGGCCUCAGUUUAAUCAGCAGCUGAGAGGACUGUUUGAUUACUAAUAGAAGAGAUGGAGUGGUGUUGAUUGUGUUUAUCCCCAGCGUCUAGAUUGCUGAUGAUUUCUGAGAGAUUAGAAGUCUUAUACUACUGUUCUUUCAAAUUCUGAAGAAUCCAGCUGUCCAGAAUUCAUACUUUGUUCAUGAGAACAGAAACCGAGAAAUCUCUGAAGGAAGUUCAGAGAGCCAGUUCUGUAAUGAAAUAUAGAAACAUAAAAAUUGCCAUUGAAAUCUUACACUUAAACACAUCUGAAAGUGUGUGCGAGACCUGGUAGACUGAUGGCUGUUUCUUAGGAAUUGGUCAUAAAUAUGAUGAAUCCUGUUUAGAAAGGAGUUUUUUUAAAAAAAUAAUCUAUUAAUAAAUUCAGUAGUGACUUGAAAAGUGAUAAGAAA